rnacentral:rRNA from 1 species
UGGGAGGUAAAUUUCUCCUAAGGCUAAAUAACGGCGAGAGACCGAUAGCGAACAAGUACCGUGAGGGAAAGAUGAAAAGAACUUUGAAAAGAGAGUUAAACAGUACGUGAAAUUGUUGAAAGGGAAACGAUUGAAGCCAGUCGUACCUAUGGGUAAUCAGCCUUUUGGGUGUGAUAUUGUGGAGCGUGAGGAGUUAAACGCCUUCAUGCCUGCAUAUUCGUGCACUUUGGGUGUACUUGCCCGUGUGUAAGUUAACAUCAAUUUUGGUGGUCAUAAAAUGGCUGGAGGAAUGUAGCUUCGAUCUUGUAUUGAAGUGUUAUAGCCUUCGGCAGAUGUGACGAUCGGGAUUGAGGAUUGCAACGGAUACCCUUCGGGGCUACCUGUCUGAUCUCUGAUUGUUGCUCUGGUGCCGAAAGCUUGCUUACGGUUAUCAAAGUCGAUUGUCAAUAGGUUAGAACGGGUUAAAUUCGUUAAGGAUGUUGACGUAAUGGCUUUAAACGACCCGUCUUGAAACACGGACCAAGGAGUCUAACAUAUAUGCGAGUGUUAGGGUGAAUAAACCCUUACGCGUAAUGAAAGUAAUUUUGGUGGGAUCACUUUUGUGCACCAUCGACC